AGGUUUGCAUCUGAAUCACAGAGCUGGUGGGGGCCCGAGCACUUGGCCACGUGGACCAGAUUGAUGCCAUUGUCUCGGCACACUGACCUUUGCUCUAAAGGUCCAGUGAGUGACCUAUUCGAGCCACGCAGCAGAGUGACCCCCCAUGCCCCCUCACACCACUACCACGACCCGUCUCUUUGCCCCACUCCCCUCCAGAAUGCUGAGGCAUCACUGCUCCUGAGCACACAGUCCGGCAGCACCCCCUGACCCCGCGCUGUCCCCCAUUAUAGAGCAGUCAGAAAGCUUUUAGGGGCUCCGGUAACGCUGAAAGAUUGAUGGCGUAAAAUGGGAUGGAGGAGGGGAGAAGAGCAGGUGGUUAAGAAGAGAAUGUCCUCCUUAAUGGGUUGCCAGGAAUGUAAUUCAAUAAUUAUGAAAAGUGACUCAAGAGAGCAGGCUGGAUGGAUGGAUGGCUUCUGAUGGAGGCUGGGAGCUCCUUUGGUCUUCAUGCCUUGGCAUCCUCAAAGCGACAGAAACAGGUGGACAGCUGAUGUGAAACACAAAAUUAUAUUCGAGUUAUCAAAGGACAGGAUAAAAAAAGAAAGAAAGAAAAAAAAAACUCUCCAGGGGUGCAAUGAUAAUUCUGUUAUUCUUUCAGGUUAAUUUCUGAUCCCUUUCAUUGCUCAAUCAUCUGUUCUUCCACUGUCAGGUGAGUCAUGCUCUUUUGAAGAUAAAGAUCCAUAGAUGCGGAACAUCUCAGAUAACAUUUUUUUGGUUGGAGGUACUUGAGAGAAAACCACUCUGGAUAUAAUAAGAUGUAAGAUCAGCUGAUGUUUGCCGGUGAUGUUUUCACUUCACUUCUUUUAGAGCCUCCUGCCUGCCACUUAGUAAAGCACUUUGUAAUUGCUGAUUUUAAGUGCAUUUUACAUUAGAUACUAAAGACAUAUGCAAGGCCUUUUCUACCAUCUGAGCCCAUUAGCCAGUGAAGAUGCUAAAUCUUCUAAUGCAUUAGAGAACGUAAGUCGGAGAAAGGGAGCUGGGCUUGGUUUGUGUAGAACACAUUUUAGACCAGGCAGGCCUUCACCUGCCUGUUGUUACUCCUUAGUAGGUCAUAUUUUGAAUGUUUUGUAUAACUCUUAAACUGCCAAUAAAUCUCAAAAAAGCUUUACAAUCUAAUACAAUCCAUUAUGGAUAAUAAUUUUCUCAAUACUUUGAAUUUUAAGCUACCGGAUAUUAUUUUCAAAACUUUUGCAUACAUUUAGCCUUGUGUCAAAGGCUGGCUCUUUAUAGCUCCCCAAAUACAUGCUGUGUUUGAGGACCAGUGGGAAGAAUGCAUAGAGCUGUGGUUUAUCUUUAAACAUAUUUAGGCUAGAGAGGCAUUCAAAGAUCAAAGUUCUUCAAGAAUUUGUGUCAAGAGCUGAUGCUUCAAGGUGUCCUCCAUCCAUUGCGUGAACUUGACAUUUUUUAAUUACAGAAAAGAAUCAGCUUGUAGAGAUGUACUCCAAAAAUGUUGGGUUAGGAAGGGAGGAUUUUACUUUGAUUUUUAUUUAUUUCCUUUCUCUUUUUGGGAAAAUUUGAAACUAGAACUAAACUCUACCUUGUACUUUUCCAUGACACACAGCUUGAUUUUGGUGUAUCAUGCAUCCCCGCAUUCAGACAGAAUCAGUCUCAGCUGUUCCGAUUUUCUUUGCUUUUUUCAUGGUAAAACUUUUAGUGGUAAACUUUUAGGAAAUAUUUUAGUGAAAAUAAUCAUUAGAAGACAUAAAGAAAAUCAGAAUGACAGCAAAGGGAGUGUAAAAAGAAAAUUAAUCAAAUUAAUUUACCUGAAUCAAAAUCCCAGUACAUAGCGAUGUGGUUGUAUUGUAGUUGACUAUACAAAGCUCUUCUGAUAUGAAGGCAGUUUUGGGCUAUGUAAAGUUAGGGGUGGUAAGUCUGUUCUUUUUUUUUUUACUUUUAGGUCAAACAAUUGUGUACAGUUGUAUUUUAUUUGGAUUCCCUCCCAAAUUUAUGCAACUUCAAUUACUCUGAAUCCAUAAUAAGAAGGGACCUCAACAAGGCAAACAUCAAACACCAGAGGCUAAAUAAUCAAUUUUUUAAACUGUAUUUUAAAAAUCAAACAAUAUAAUCAUUUAUUUAUAUAAAACAAGUGUGAGCUAAAAAAAAAUCACGAUUUAUGUAAAAACAAGUGUCAGCUAAAAAUCCCUUAAAUAAUGAGUUUCUUACAUUCUAGUUCUCCAUCAUUUGACACAGUACAUAAGAGAUGACUUUUUGACUUUAACAAUUUAUUUACAAAAUCAAACAAUAUAAUCAAUAAUUCAUGUAAAACAAGUGUGAGUUAAAAAUCUCCAUGUAAAAACAGGUGUCAGCUAAAAAUUACUGAAGGACCUAGUUAUACUAUAGUUCUCUAUUAUCUGAAACAGUACAUAAAAUGUGGUUAAAACCCCAUACUGUAACUCCUGAAAACCCUCCAUGUUCUGUGUGGCUCUGUGGAAGGGAAACUCCAGCCUAAUCAAACCAGAAAUUACUCCUUAGAAAAAGUUUAAGUUAAAGUUUUUAU